GCGGAGGCCCCAGCGCCCGAGUGUGAUGUAGACCUCAGCCCAAACACUGAGAGAACAAGACCAAAAAGCAGAACUUGAAGCCGCGCGCGCAAGUGAGAAAACCUACGCCAGACCAAUUUCCUAGACCGAUUUGGAUAUAAUUUUUCAUUGAAGGAAAGAGUGCGAGGCUGUCAUCUGUUUUUUAUCAUUAUUAUUUUUCAUUAGUUAUAUAUACAUAGAUAUAUUAUUGUUAUUAUCAAUCAUUAUUUUCUGGAAGUGAAUAAUGACCACAAGGUGUGGAACAGUGCCAGGAAAAUAGCGGAAGGAAGAUUCGAAAAAGAGUAGUUUGGCGGAGAACAAGUUAAUGUGAUGUGUGUGUGCUACAGUGCUUAUUUUACUUCCUCUGCGUUUCAUACAUCGAGUGACUGCCGCGUGUGUCAACCGUGACGUCACCCACUAAACAUGAUUGACGGCAAGACCCCGCCCUCACUCAGUCCGACUGUACCUACAAUGGGAUUUCACUGAUAUCUUACAGGAGGUCCGGACGGCAGUGACGUAGGAGUGGCCAGCGGCGGCAGCAACAGUGGCGGAGGCAGCGCGGGCGGCGGUGCAACAGCCGUGGGCGUUGCCAAGAUGUCGGCCGUUGCAAGAAAUACAGCCUCCUCCAUGCCCUCCAGUGGGGACACUCCCUCCAGGAAACCUGUGCGCCUGUGCCAGGUCAGUUGCGCGGCUUUGAGGUCAAAUCCAGUUGGGUUAUUCGGACGACGGGCUGACCUCGAGAGGAAGCCUCUUGGUGUCCCAUGUUAGGUCGGGUUGGGUCGAGCUGGGUCGGGUCGUGGUUCUCGCGAAGAUCGCAUCGUUUUUUUGUCUUGUGUCGAAUCUCUGAGGUCAGUCUUGAUAACUGGUUAUUUUUAGUGUCUUAAAAGGUCAGUGGUAGGUUUGUAAGGUCACAGGAAGACUUGCCUCCUUUCUGAGUGAUGAGACGAAAUAUCGCAGAUUCAGUCCUGUAAAAUGAAUAAAUACCUUUAUGCCUAACAGAAACAUGAGCGAGUAAUGCUAUUGUUCUACAAAGUCUUAAAUUACAUAUGUGUUUUCCUCGUUCCCUUUUUGAUCAUAUCUAAGUAGUAUUGUUAUCAAGCCAGCCACACUGUACUUCGAUUGUCAAUCUUGUAGUAUUGAUAAGUGUGUGUUUCUGGUGACAGUGGCAGGUGUAUUUAUCGAGUGGGGUUGGCAGGUGAUAUUUGU